CCUGGAAAGAAAAGCUAGCCCAGGAGGAGAGGAUCAGCAGCCCCUUCACAGCGGGCCUAUCUGAUAGGCCGGCGCAUCUCAGGAGGACAUUUCACCGGCCCGAGCCCGCUGAAAUAAAUCUCCCUGCUGCUGCUUUCUAUGUUGGAACACCAUGUAGCUUCAGUCCUGAUAGCAGGCCUGCCGUGUUACAGCUGCAGCCUGGCGAGUAGGCUACUGUACACCCUCAAACAUACAGUGGACUAGACACACUCACCUUUGUCAAAGGGUUCUGAGCACUUCAGACGCACUCGCCCUGACAGACUGUUUCAUGUUCCUCAAGGACGCCUCACUCCUACAUACAUCACAGAGGAACAGCAGUCUACAGUUUAAAUACAGCAAAAUGAGUGGUGUGUUCCUCUGAAAAUCUAAUGGAAAGUGAACAUGUGUGCAUUAUGAUAAGACUGUAAGGGACUGACAGCGUGCGCAUGUCCCAGACACACAUUUAUCAAAAGAAAAACUACCAUUUGUCAUGUCACAGAUAAAUAAAUUAAGUAAAUUACA